rnacentral:rRNA from 1 species
UUGGAGGGCAAGUCUGGUGCCAGCAGCCGCGGUAAUUCCAGCUCCAAUAGCGUAUAUUAAAGUUGUUGCAGUUAAAAAGCUCGUAGUUGAAUUUCGGGAUCAGUACGCUGGUCAUGCCUUUGGUAUGCACUGGUGUCACUGGUUUCUCCCUUCUGAAGAUCCGUGAUGUCAUUAAUUUGGUGUCGCGGGGAAUCAGGACUGUUACUUUGAAAAAAUUAGAGUGUUUAAAGCAGGCUCACGCUUGAAUACAUUAGCAUGGAAUAAUGAAAUAGGACGUUUGACCCUAUUUUGUUGGUUUCUAGGAUCGACGUAAUGAUUAAUAGGGAUAGUUGGGGGCAUUAGUAUUCAAUUGUCAGAGGUGAAAUUCUUGGAUUUAUUGAAGACUAACUACUGCGAAAGCAUUUGCCAAGGAUGUUUUCACUAAUCAAGAACGAAAGUUAGGGGAUCGAAGACGAUCAGAUACCGUCGUAGUCUUAACCAUAAACUAUGCCGACUAGGGAUCGGAUGAUGUUAAUUUUAUAAUGACUCAUUCGGCGCCUUACGGGAAAC